rnacentral:misc_RNA from 1 species
GAUGAAGAACGUAGCGAAAUGCGAUAAGUAAUGUGAAUUGCAGAAUUCAGUGAGUCAUCGAAUCUUUGAACGCACAUUGCGCCCAUUAGUAUUCUAGUGGGCAUGCCUGUUCGAGCGUCAUUAAGUCCACUUAAGCCCUGCUUAGUGUUGGGAGACUGCUCCAGCGGUGCUACCCUGUAGCUACCCUGCAGCUCCUCAAAGACAGCGGCGGAGUUGUGGUAUCCUCUGAGCUUAGUAACUUGUUCUAGCUUUCGAGUACACCACUUCCCCUGCCGUAAAACCCUUAAUUUUUAAUGGUUGACCUCGGAUCAGGUAGGAAUACCCGCUGAACUUAAGCAUAUCAAAGCGGAGGA